UGCUAUGAUGCUUCUUAUCUUACCUACAUUAUUUGAACGAGAAAUCGUGUAACAAACAACACAACUGA
rnacentral:snoRNA from 1 species